rnacentral:rRNA from 1 species
CCUACGGGUGGCAGCAGUGGGGGAUAUUGCACAAUGGGGGAGACCCUGAUGCAGCGACGCCGCGUGUGGGAAGACGGUCCUCUGGAUUGUAAACCACUGUCGCCAGGGACGAAGCUGACGGUCCCUGGGGCGGAAGCUCCGGCUACCUACGUCCCAGCAGCCUCGGUAAUACGGAGGGAACGAGCUGUGUCCGGAAUUACUGGGUUUAAAGGGAGCGUAGGCGGUGAUGCAAUGUUGAUGUAAAAACGACCGGCUCAACUGGUCGUCGCACUUAAAACUGCAGCUCUUGAGUGAAGUAGAGGCAGGCGGAAUUCCUAGUGUAGCGGUGAAAUGCGUAGAUAUUAGGAGGAACACCAGUGGCGAAGGCGGCCUGCUGGGCUUUUACUGACGCUGAGGCUCGAAAGUGUGGGGAGCAAACAGGAUUAGAUACCCUAGUAGUC